AUGGACCGACUGCUACCCGAUGUAGUGCUCGCGGACGUCCUCGGCCGUCUCCCGCAGCGAAGUCUCGCCGUUUCGCGCGCCGUCUGCAAGUGUUUGCGCGACAUCAUCGACGAUCUCAGCCUGCUACGUGCGGACCUGCUCCCGCUGUCGCUAGGCAAGAUCUUCACCAACUUCAAGGCCAUGGAACUCUCGGAAUUCUUCUAUCCCGUCAACGACCCGACGGCAAUCUCACGCAGCUGCCUCCUUGGUAUAAUUGACGACCACUGUAAUGGCCUUGUCUUGAUUAAAUACAUUGACCACUUUGUGAUGAAUCCUAUCACACGACAAUGGGUGCUUUUGCCCCCGCCGCCGCCCCCGUCGACGGAGAUGAAGGACUUCUACCAAAACGGGGCCAAGUAUCUUGUGUUUGAUCCCACUGUCGCGCCAGACUAUGAGGUCUUCUUGAUUCCCCAUGUUCCAGGGAGAGAUACGUUGGGUCUUUUGUCGCUGGAAUUGGAAUGGCCACCAUCGCCAUUUAUCUUGUCAGUUUAUUCAUCAACAAGUAAGCAUUGGGAGCAGAGGCCCUUUGUUCGGAAAGGGGACGCCAUAGGGUCUAUUGGUCAUAUUCUACAAAGUG
rnacentral:rRNA from 1 species